rnacentral:rRNA from 1 species
AACGAACGCUGGCGGCAUGCUUAACACAUGCAAGUCGAACGAUGGCUUCGGCCAUAGUGGCGCACGGGUGAGUAACGCGUGGGAACCUGCCUUCUGGUAGGGAAUAACAGCGGGAAACUGCUGCUAAUACCCUAUGUCCCCUGAGGGGAAGAUUUAUCGCCGGAAGAGGGGCCCGCGUCCGAUUAGGUAGUUGGUGGGGUAAAGGCCUACCAGGCCUUCGAUCGGUAGCUGGUCUGAGAGGAUGAUCAGCCACACUGGGACUGAGAUACGGCCCAGACUCCUACGGGAGGCAGCAGUGGGGAAUAUUGGACAAUGGGCGCAAGCCUGAUCCAGCAAUGCCGCGUGAGUGAUGAAGGCCUUAGGGUUGUAAAGCUCUUUCGCCGA